AGUGAACGCUGGCGGUAGGCCUAACACAUGCAAGUCGAACGGCAGCACAGUAAGAGCUUGCUCUUACGGGUGGCGAGUGGCGGACGGGUGAGGAAUACAUCGGAAUCUACUUUUUCGUGGGGGAUAACGUAGGGAAACUUACGCUAAUACCGCAUACGACCUACGGGUGAAAGCAGGGGAUCUUCGGACCCUGCGCGAUUGAAUGAGCCGAUGUCGGAUUAGCUAGUUGGCGGGGUAAAGGCCCACCAAGGCGACGAUCCGUAGCUGGUCUGAGAGGAUGAUCAGCCACACUGGAACUGAGACACGAUCCAGACUCCUACGGGAGGCAGCAGUGGGGAAUAUUGGACAAUGGGCGCAAGCCUGAUCCAGCCAUACCGCGUGGGUGAAGAAGGCCUUCGGGUUGUAAAGCCCUUUUGUUGGGAAAGAAAAGCAGCAGGUUAAUACCCCGCUGUUCUGACGGUACCCAAAGAAUAAGCACCGGCUAACUUCGUG
rnacentral:rRNA from 1 species